GCCCGAUUAGCCCAACGGUAGAGGCGAUGGCUUCAGAGACCAUUAAGUAUCAGUUCGAAUCUGAUAUCGGGUA
rnacentral:tRNA from 1 species